AAACCGACACAGGUAGGUAGGUAGAGUAUACCAAGGGGCGCGAGAUAACUCUCUCUAAGGAACUCGGCAAAAUGACCCCGUAACUUUGGGAGAAGGGGUACCUUAUAGGUUGCAAUAACAAGGUCCAAGCGACUGUUUAUCAAAAACACAGGUCUCCGCAAAGUUGAAAGACAAUGUAUGGGGGCUGACGCCUGCCCAGUGCCGGAAGGUUAAAGAAGCUGGUUAGCUUUUGCGAAGCUGGUGACUGAAGCCCCGGUGAACGGCGGCCGUAACUAUAACGGUCCUAAGGUAGCGAAAUUCCUUGUCGGGUAAGUUCCGACCUGCACGAAUGGCGUAACGACUUCCCCACUGUCUCCAACAGAGACUCAGCGAAAUUGAAUUCUCCGUGAAGAUGCGGAGUACCCGCGGUCAGACGGAAAGACCCCGUGCACCUUUACUACAGCUUCGCAGUGGCGUUAGUGGCGAUAUGUGUAGGAUAGGCGGGAGGCUUUGAAACCAGAGCGCCAGUUCUGGUGGAGCCAUCCUUGAAAUACCGCCCUUAUCCUCAUUGACGUCUAACCGCGGUCCAUGAACCUGGAUCCGGGACCCUGCGUGGCGGGUAGUUUGACUGGGGCGGUCGCCUCCCAAAGAGUAACGGAGGCGCGCGAAGGUUGGCUCAGAGCGGUCGGAAAUCGCUCGUUGAGUGCAAUGGCAUAAGCCAGCCUGACUGUGAGACUGACAGGUCGAACAGAGUCGAAAGACGGCCAUAGUGAUCCGGUGGUCCCGCGUGGAAGGGCCAUCGCUCAACGGAUAAAAGGUACGCCGGGGAUAACAGGCUGAUGAUGCCCAAGAGUCCAUAUCGACGGCAUUGUUUGGCACCUCGAUGUCGGCUCAUCGCAUCCUGGGGCUGGAGCAGGUCCCAAGGGUUUGGCUGUUCGCCAAUUAAAGCGGUACGUGAGCUGGGUUUAGAACGUCGUGAGACAGUUCGGUCCCUAUCUGCCGUGGGUGUUGGAUACUUGAGAGGAGCUGUCCCUAGUACGAGAGGACCGGGAUGGACGUACCUCUGGUGGACCUGUUGUUACGCCAGUAGCAUAGCAGGGUAGCUAAGUACGGAAAGGAUAACCGCUGAAAGCAUCUAAGCGGGAAGCCCCCCUCAAAACCAGGUAUCCCUAUCAGAGCCGUGGAAGACCACCACGUUGAUAGGCUGGAAGUGGAAGCGCAGCAAUGCGUGAAGCGGACCAGUACUAAUUGCUCGAUCGGCUUGAU
rnacentral:rRNA from 12 species